AGCCAGUGUGGUGCAGUUGUUAAGAGUGCUUGGCUGUGACCUGGGAGACCAGGGUUCGAAUCCCCACUUGGCCA